GCCGCGGUGGCGGAAUUGGCAGACGCAUACGACUCAAAAUCGUACGGGAGCAAUCCCAUGAGAGUUCGAUUCUCUCCCGCGGCACCA
rnacentral:tRNA from 1 species